rnacentral:rRNA from 1 species
CCAAUAGCGUAUAUUAAAGUUGUUGCAGUUAAAAAGCUCGUAGUUGAAUUUCGGGAUCAGUACGCCGGUCGUGCCUUCGGUAUGUACUGGUGUUACUGGUUCCUACCUUCUGACGAACCGUCAUGUCAUUAAUUUGGGGUGGCGGGGAAUCAGGACGGUUACUUUGAAAAAAUUAGAGUGUUUAAAGAAGGCUCGCGCUUGAAUACAUUAGCCUGGAAUAAUGAAAUAGGACGUUCGAGCCUAUUUUGUUGGUUUCUAGGAUUGACGUAAUGAUUAAUAGGGAUAGUUGGGGGCAUUAGUAUUCAAUUGUCAGAGGUGAAAUUCUUGGAUUUAUUGAAGACUAACUACUGCGAAAGCAUUUGCCAAGGAUGUUUUCAUUAAUCAAGAACGAAAGUUAGGGGAUCGAAGACGAUCAGAUACCGUCGUAGUCUUAACCAUAAACUAUGCCGACUAGGGAUCGGAUGAUGUUAUUUUUAAUGACUCAUUCGGCGCCUUACG